rnacentral:rRNA from 1 species
AAGUCGUAACAAGGUUUCCGUAGGUGAACCUGCGGAAGGAUCAUUAUUGAAAUAAACCUGAUGGGUUGUUGCUGGUUCUCUAGGGAGCAUGUGCACACCUUGUCAUCUUUAUAUCUCUCCACCUGUGCACCUUUUGUAGACCUUUCAGGUCUAUGUUGCUUCAUCUACCCCAAUGUAUGUUAAUAGAAUGUUGUGCCUAUAUAAUAUAUACAACUUUCAGCAACGGAUCUCUUGGCUCUCGCAUCGAUGAAGAACGCAGCGAAAUGCGAUAAGUAAUGUGAAUUGCAGAAUUCAGUGAAUCAUCGAAUCUUUGAACGCACCUUGCGCUCCUUGGUAUUCCGAGGAGCAUGCCUGUUUGAGUGUCAUUAAUAUAUCAACCCUCUCUUUUUGAGUGGUUUGGAUGUGGGGGUUUGCUGGCCUCUCAGAAAGGUCUUGGCUCUCCUGAAAUACAUUAGCAGAACAACCCUGUUCAUUGGUGUGAUAACUAUCUACGCUAUUGAAUGUGAAGGGGCAGUUUGGCUUUCUAACAGUCCCUGGACAAGCUCAUCAUUAAUGUGACCUCAAAUCAGGUAGGACUACCCGCUGAACUUA